GGAGAGAUCAUUGAGCGGACCAAAGCGACAGAUUGCUAAUCCGUAGUAUUGAUCAUUCAUACUGAGAAUUCAAAUCACUCUCUCUCCA
rnacentral:tRNA from 1 species